rnacentral:rRNA from 1 species
GAUGAACGCUGGCGGCGUGCUUAACACAUGCAAGUCGAACGGAAAGGCUCCUGCUUGCCGGGGUACUCGAGUGGCGAACGGGUGAGUAACACAUGGGUGAUCUGCCCUGCACUUCGGGAUAAGCCUGGGAAACUGGGUCUAAUACCGGAUAGGACCACAUUUUGGAUGGUGUGGUGGAAAGUUUUUCGGUGUGGGAUGAGCUCGCGGCCUAUCAGCUUGUUGGUGGGGUAAUGGCCUACCAAGGCGUCGACGGGUAGCCGGCCUGAGAGGGUGUACGGCCACAUUGGGACUGAGAUACGGCCCAGACUCCUACGGGAGGCAGCAGUGGGGAAUAUUGCACAAUGGGCGCAAGCCUGAUGCAGCGACGCCGCGUGGGGGAUGACGGCCUUCGGGUUGUAAACUCCUUUCGCUAGGGACGAAGCGUUUUUGUGACGGUACCUGGAGAAGAAGCACCGGCUAACUACGUG